AAAGCUUUUUAGGUUUUUAGGGUCAUAAACAUCGUUCUCGUUCCCGCUUCCUCCAUCUGCUAUAUCCCGCUCACUCCAUCCAAUCCGGACAACGAAGUCAACCAUAGCAAUCUGCGAAGUCGACAUCUGCUAGUUCAGCUCCACCUCCUUCCUAUUUUUAUUCCUCUUUCUGCACAUUCAAUCCGUCACUCAGACCCUAAACUCUAAUACUCAGAAAUCAAUCAGAUCUGUCCGUCUCUCGCUUUGUGGACUGCAUCUUGUCGAUCUCCACUCUCAAAACAGAGAUUGUUCACUGUUGAAGAAUUGGCUUUGUACAAUGGGACUGAUCAAAGUUUGCCCUCUUGUUAGGAAUUCUGGGAGUUGAAACACUGAGGUACAAAAGAGGGGACGGCGAAUCAAUCUGUGUUUGUUUUGGAAAAGGGCUUCUGCUAUAUUUGUUGGUGUAUAUGAACCUACGAAGCAGAAAUUGUUGAAGUCACUCCCAGAAAAUUUCAGUGCUUUAGUUCAUUUGGUAUUCAGACAUCAAUCAGACUGCAGGUGCUAUUGGAGGUGCUGCUUCUUCUAUUGUACGAGUGCCAACAGA